rnacentral:rRNA from 1 species
UACGGAGGGUGCAAGCGUUGUUCGGAAUCACUGGGCGUAAAGCGCGUGUAGGCGGACUCUUAAGUCCGGUGUGAAAGCCCUGGGCUCACCCCCGGAAGGGCACUGGAUACUGGGAGGCUAGAGUACCGGAGAGGAGGGUGGAAUUCCUGGUGUAGCGGUGAAAUGCGUAGAUAUCAGGAGGAACACCGGUGGCGAAGGCGGCCCUCUGGACGGCUACUGACGCUGAGACGCGAAAGCGUGGGGAGCAAACAGG